rnacentral:snoRNA from 1 species
CUCCAAUGAUGACUUCUGUUUUGUGCCAGGUGUCUGGGCCUCUAAAUGUUCUUGAUGAAG